UAACUAACCAAAUGUAUAUUUUACUUUCAGAUUUAUAGCAAAAUGAGCAUACCUCCAAUCCAUAUUUUGAAAACUUUUCAGUUGAACAAGAAGGUUUAGAAUUUGUGUUCUGCAGGUAUGGUAUAUGCAGUUGACAUAAAUGAAGGCCGCUUGAGAAUCCUCAAAGAGACGACUAAGUUGCGCCAAGUAGAUGGUGUGAUCACCAUUGUUCAUUCGGAUAUCCGUACUUUUUCUGAUAACAAUAGUACAAAAUGUGAUAAACUUCUGUUGGAUGCUCCAUGUUCUGGACUGGGUGUGCUCUCGAAGGUGAUUGUAUAAGAUGGCAUGUAUUGUGUUUAUUUGAUUUUAAAAAAUUGUUUGUUAUUUGAUGCUACUUUUCUUUUUAACUUUUGAAGAGAGCACACUUGCAUUGGAACAGGAAAUUAGAGGAUAUGGAGCAGCUUAAAAGUUCCUGCUCUAAAGAUCCUUAAGUCUCUAAUUUGAAAAACCGAGGAACAAUUUUUUCUUUUGAGCAAAAGCCCAUCUACUAAAAUGUCUAGAUUUCUCAAUUGAUUGAAUGAAACAUAUGGUGAACACUAUACUUUAGGCCAAAUGCAUUUUUGAAUCACUUUUCUCUUCAGGGAUUCAAUGAAAGAUGAUGUGAAGACUUGCGAUGAUGGAGUUGUGUAGCUAUUUUGUAGCAUUUAUAUUUUGUGAUCUCCAAAUACACUUUGGAUGACUAUUAGAUUUUGUUAUGGAUGUAAAUAGAUUUCAAUAUAUUUCAUACGUAUAAUAUAGUUUUACAA